CCCUUAGAUGUCCGGGGCCGCACGCGCGCUACACUGAAGGAAUCAGCGUGGCUUUCUCCCUGACCCGAAAGGGUUGGGAAACCCGUUGAAUCUCCUUCGUGAUAGGGAUUGGGGCAUGAAAUUGUUCCCCAUGAACGAGGAAUUCCCAGUAAGCGCGAGUCAUAAGCUCGCGUUGAUUACGUCCCUGCCCUUUGUACACACCGCCCGUCGCUACUACCGAUUGAACGGUUUAGUGAGGGCCUCGGAUUGGUCUCGGCCCGCUCUUUACCGGGCGGCGCCGUUGGUCGAGAAGACGCUCGAACUUGAUCGUUUAGAGGAAGUAAAAGUCGUAACA
rnacentral:rRNA from 1 species